AGGACGAACGCUGGCGGCGUGCUUAACACAUGCAAGUCGAGCGGAAAGGCCCUUCGGGGUACUCGAGCGGCGAACGGGUGAGUAACACGUGAGCAACCUGCCCUUAGCUUCGGGAUAGCUCCGGGAAACCGGAAUUAAUACCGAAUAUGACUGCGGCUGACAUCAGCCACGGUGGAAAGUUUUCGGCUAGGGAUGGACUCGCGGCCUAUCAGCUAGUUGGUGAGGUAACGGCCCACCAAGGCGACGACGGGUA
rnacentral:rRNA from 1 species